rnacentral:rRNA from 1 species
GACGAACGCUGGCGGCGUGCUUAACACAUGCAAGUCGAACGGAAAGGCCCUUCGGGGUCCUCAAGUGGCGAACGGGUGAGUAACACGUGGGUGAUCUGCCCUGCACUUUGGGAUAAGCCUGGGAAACUGGGUCUAAUACCGAAUAGGACCACGCGCUUCAUGGUGUGUGGUGGAAAGCUUUUGCGGUGUGGGAUGGGCCCGCGGCCUAUCAGCUUGUUGGUGGGGUAAUGGCCUACCAAGGCGACGACGGGUAGCCGGCCUGAGAGGGUGACCGGCCACACUGGGACUGAGAUACGGCCCAGACUCCUACGGGAGGCAGCAGUGGGGAAUAUUGCACAAUGGGCGCAAGCCUGAUGCAGCGACGCCGCGUGAGGGAUGACGGCCUUCGGGUUGUAAACCUCUUUCAAUAGGGACGAAGCGCAAGUGACGGUACCUAUAGAAGAAGCACCGGCCAACUACGUG